rnacentral:rRNA from 1 species
GAAUUGACGGGGGCCCGCACAAGCGGUGGAGCAUGUGGUUUAAUUCGAUGCAACGCGAAGAACCUUACCUAGGCUUGACAUCCCUGGAAUUUGUGGAAACACAAAAGUGCCUUUCGGGGAACCAGGAGACAGGUGCUGCAUGGCCGUCGUCAGCUCGUGUCGUGAGAUGUUGGGUUAAGUCCCGCAACGAGCGCAACCCUUGUCAUUAGUUGCUACCGCAAGGAGCACUCUAAUGAGACUGCCGGUGACAAACCGGAGGAAGGUGGGGAUGACGUCAGGUCCUCAUGGCCCUUAUGGGUAGGGCUACACACGUCAUACAAUGGCCGGUACAGAGGGCUGCCAACCCGCGAGGGGGAGCCAAUCCCAGAAAACCGGUCGUAGUCCGGAUCGUAGUCUGCAACUCGACUGCGUGAAGUCGGAAUCGCUAGUAAUCGCGGAUCAGCUUGCCGCGGUGAAUACGUUCCCGGGUCUU